CCUACGGGUGGCAGCAGUGGGGGAUAUUGCACAAUGGGGGAAACCCUGAUGCAGCGACGCCGCGUGAGUGAUGAAGUAUUUCGGUAUGUAAAGCUCUAUUAGCAGGGAAGAAAAUGACAGCACCUGACCAAUAAGCCACGGCCAUAUUCGUUCCAGCAGCCGUGGUAAUACGCAGGGGGCCAGCGUUAUCCGGAUUUACUGGGCGUAAAGGGAGCGUAGACGGUUAUGUAAGUCUGGAGUGAAAGGCCGGGGCCCAACCCCGAGACUGCUUUGGAAACUGUGUGACUGGAGUACAGGAGGGGUAGGCGGAAUUCCUGGUGUAGCGGUGAAAUGCGUAGAUAUCAGGAAGAACACCGACGGCGAAGGCAGCCUGCUGGACUGAAACUGACGUUGAGGCUCGAAAGCGUGGGGAGCAAACAGGAUUAGAUACCCGAGUAGUC
rnacentral:rRNA from 1 species